AUGCGCCAUCUCCUCCUUGGGUGUUCCUUCUCGAGGCACGUCUGGUUCGAGAUCCUUUCCUGGAUGCGCAUGACAUGCAGGCCCCCGAGCAACGAGGCUACCCUCUUUGAUUGGUGGCAUGAUGCCCGGCAGGUCAAGCCCAAGGCGAUGCGCAAGGGGCUGGCAUCCGCGACACUUCUUACCUCCUGGAUGAUCUGGAAGCACCGCAACGAUUGCGUCUUCAACGACGCACACCCUUCCAUCCGGGCGCUAGUUCAUGGCAUCAAGGAGGAGGCCAAACUUUGGGCUACGGCAGGCGCUGCUGGACUCAGAGUAGUCUUGCCCUCGACCUGGGACGUGCACUAA
rnacentral:rRNA from 1 species